rnacentral:lncRNA from 1 species
AGAAGACGGGCAGCUGCGGUCGUGCGGGCGAGCACGGAGCAACAGAUUGUUGGGGCGCUGCUCUGACAAGGCGGAAAAAGGGACUGUCGCGGCUGGGGUCUGGAUUGGCGACGGAGGAAUCGUCGCGUAGCGCAGUCCGGACGGCGCGACUGUGGAGGGGCGGCGGAAAAGGCGGGAGGCAUCGGGCUCCGCAGCCGGGGAUCCGGCGGGGUGAUGAUGGGUGCGGGUGGCGAGGCACUGCAGAAAGG